rnacentral:tRNA from 1 species
CUAACUUUAGUUUAAUAAGAAUUGUGACUUUGGGAGUCAUUGGUCUCUGUAAGAGAAGUUUGG